CAAUGCUACUUCUCAAGGCAUCUCUACACCAAUUGCUCAUGCUGUGCCAGAUACAAGGCCCAGUGUUUCUGAGUUUAUAGUUCAAAGAGAAAUAAUGCCAUUUGUUGGCUCUAGUUCCCCUGGACUGCUUUUCUCAGGGAAUAGGGCCACUUCAGUGAGGCAAAACUCUACCAGUUCUGCACAACCAGAAGCUGGGUUUCAAUCUGCCUCACAAGAUGCCAACUGGGCUGUUGCAUCUCCUCCUGAUCUGUUCUACGGCGGUGAGGAAAUGUCGACUGGCACUCGUGGUGUUGUCUCCAGUCGACCCAAGAAGCUGAGUCUCCUUCAACCAAUGUACCAGGCAGGGGAGUUGUCCAAUUAUGAGCUAAGCAAUGAGCACGGUGACUUCGAGAGGGAGACCGAGGAACAAGGCUGGUGGCCUCAGCAACCACGUCCUAUGCAAGAGUCUGCUGGACAAGGCUUCGCCAGCCAACCUCGUCCAGUCUUCAACAUGGGUAGAAGCUUGAGCCCUUAUCAUUACUACGACUUCUCUUUCCUUACCGGCCAGUAUCCUCCAGGCACAUUCAGUCAUGCCAGCAGCAGCUACGAGCAGGGAAGAGACUACUGGCAAGACGUUCACUAUAUGAAAGACUCUGGUACCUCUAACCCCAGACCUGAACAGCAGAUCCAGACCUUCACUGGUGACUUUGGAGCUCCCCAGAGCAUUGAGUAUCCCAGUACGCCUGUGGGAAGUCCUGUGAUGUCUGGUUAUGGACAGGGUGGUGCUCAGCCUGGUCUAGAAGCUUCUUCCCCUCAACACUUCUGGCAGUCAAGCCGUUGGCCAAAUCAUGCCUAUUAGCGGUGUGGAUCCCUACAGCAUGAACAAAGUUUUCGGAUGAAUAAAGCUUUUGUAAUUUACUCUUGCUUCAAGAUUGUUUCUCUUGACUAAAGGAGCCCCGUGCCAAAGUGGCACAAAAUGAAAUUGUCAAAAAAACCUAUGACUAAUGAUGUUCCACUGCAUGGUAUGCCACAGCUCUACUCUUGGACUCUCUUUGGCUUCCAUUGGGAGAACCUGUGGAUGGUACCUAGUUUAUUUUUUUGGUACUACCUUGGUCAAUGUUUUGUAAGCAGAUGCUAAGAGGUGGUGGUGGUAAAACCCUGCACACCAGACUACACGAAAAAUCAGACUGUGGUAGCACAAUUUAUAACUAACACUACAAACCAGUUAAGCUGAUUCUUGCAGCUCAAUUUCUCUGCAUGCCUUGUUAUAGAGUCAAAUAAACUCUAUCCUCUCUAUGUGCUGACAUAAAAGUGCUUAUCAGGCUCAGUUGAUUGGAUCUAGAAACAGAACUCAUGGGGAAAUGGUAACAAUACAGACUCAAGAUGUAUGACAGUUGGAUGAGAUCACGGUCAGACAGAGGUGACUGUGCAAUGCGUCUGACUCAGCUCAGAAGAGUUGGUGUUAAAAUCAAAUCCGGGUCAAACCGCUAUGUCUGCCUUUGCAUUAAUGGCUUAUUAGACUAAUACAGAUUUACAUUGAGCAGUGGAGGUGAUAUCACCUUGAUGUGCCUGCUCGAUUUGUGUGAUUGAUCAAAUAUAUUUUCUGUGAUAUUUAGAAGUGCUCAGCAGUUCCAGUUAUUUGUGUUAAACAUGUGAUUAGACUAGAUUUACAAUUGCAGCUUACUCUUCAGUUUGACCAUUAUUUAUUUUUGUGUGAUCAAUUGAAUGAUAACCCAUCCUUAUGUAUCCGUUUUGUGACAUGUAAAAAGUGCUUAGAAGGCCCUGUUGAUCGAUAUAAAGUCCCAUCUAAGCAAGUGAAAGCAGACUCUGUGGUGCAGCACUUCUGACUCGAGAUCAGAAUGAUGCAUGUUCAAAUUCCAUCAGGGUCAAUCUACCACAAUGUGCUGUGACUUCUAUUAACAUAACAGAUGGUUAGACUCAUUUAUAACUAACACUACCAACAAAUUAGCAGGCUCCCACUUUCUCUACAUGCCUUGCUAUGUAUUUGUUACUAAUUCCAAUAAAAAAAACACU
rnacentral:lncRNA from 1 species